UACAGAGGGGGCAAGCGUUAUUCGGAAUUAUUGGGCGUAAAGGGCGCGUAGGCGGCCUUGCAAGUGGCGGGUGAAAUCCCUCGGCUUAACCGAGGAACUGCCUGCCAGACUGCAAGGCUCGAGACCGGGAGAGGUGAGUGGAAUUCCCAGUGUAGAGGUGAAAUUCGUAGAUAUUCGCAAGAACACCAGUGGCGAAGGCGGCUUACUGGUCCGGUUCUGACGCUGAGGCGCGAAAGCGUGGGGAGCAAACAGG
rnacentral:rRNA from 1 species